AGGCCUUUCAGCCCUGCUUAGCGAGCUUGACCAAAGGUGACGAUGACUAAGGGCUAAGGUCGUGCCCUCCCUCCCUCCAAAUCGAUACUUCAAUGUGACUUAUCAGAAAGAGAAAGAACUGUUUACUUUAAAACCCUGGAUCCCAUAAAGGGAGCGAGGAAAGGCCUAAACCCCACAGAAGCUCAGGGCUGGCGCCCAUGACCACCCCCAUACGGCCAGAAGAGGGGAGAACAGAAGGCACCAUCCCACUGGCAGAGAAGGGGCCCUGGGCCCAGAGAAGACACGAGGUGACUGGAAGGUUAACGAAAGCUUCAGGCUUUCAAGGCAUACAAGGCCCACGCGGAGAAGUGCAGGAGGGCUCAGACACUGCUAUGAGGUUCUGAAGUGAAAUGACCUCAGGAGCUUGACCGAUAGAGAGCUCUCCAAGCGUGUCCUACCAGGACCUUUGUCACUAGUGAAUUGAUCACCUCCCGAUGAUUUUUUCCAACUGAGCUAAGAGAUUUCUGGAGCCUCUCGCCAUGGUCAGAACAUCCCUGGAGUGACCAAGAAGGGGGGCUUUCUGUUCUAGUCCCUCGGGCAAAGACAAAGCAGAUGAGCCCGGCUAAGUUGUUAGGAGGCGCUGUAGGGAAGGGAAGAACCAGGGAUGGUUAAUCACACGAGUGUGUCCCCUGCGGCUGCACCCAGCGUGCCAGGGGCUUGCGGUAGCAAAGGGGGCCAGCUGGAACUCUGGAGUUGGUAUUCGGUGUGAGUCUUGGCAAAUGCCCAGGGGAAAAUUCCCCCUGAAGACAGCAGGUCUAAGAGUGAGCCAGGUGGCACUUUCCUGCCACCUUGCACCCUGAAAAGGCGAGCCAGGGUCACAGACAGGAACCAAAGGAGGUCAGUCACUUCGUAGGAAGACGAGCAAUCAACACAGUGUAAAAGGAAAGAAAAAAAAAAGGCUGAUGUUGUACACCUAAAAUGAAUAUGCUAGACAUCUCGAUAAAAUUGGAAAGAAAAAAAGAGGCGGGGGUCAACACUCCGAUCCCACGGAAGCUCAGUGGCUUCCGUGGUGUGCUCUCAACCGCACGGUCCAGGUGGAAGAGGGUUGUUUCACGGUCUGCAUGUGAAUAAGGGACAUUUUUACUGAAAAAAAGGCAGAAGGAUUCAUUUUCAAGUUAAGAAUGGUCCCAUUUUAUGGCUGAAGCAAUGCUCUGGUUAACAACUCAGUUAUCUUGGGGAAAGAGUAAACUGGCCUCCACCCCUCUCCAUUUCCAGCAUUUUGGGGAAAAGAAAAGCUUAGAUAAAAUGCUUUAUUUCCUCUCCUGCCCCACUGUGGGCAGGAGCUCAUACAUCAGUCAGAAACUCUUUUUUUUUUUUUUUUUUAAACAGGAAAUCAAGUAAACCAGAAGGGAUUUAUUCACAGGAGGCUCCCUUUUGCUAGAAAAGGAGUAUUGGUAACAAAAAAAUGGAAUAGUUCCCCUCUCUCUAUUUUCCUCCUGUCCUUCCCUCCUCUCAUCUACCACCCGCUACUGUAGUGGGAAACCACUGCGGUGAGUAAGAUGUGACAUCUGAGCCCUGUUGGAUGCCUCUGUAUCCAACAGCUGUUACUGAGAGUGGAUUACAGCUCAUCUAAAUGGUCUCUCUGUGGAGCUGGCGAGGCUCUCGGACGAUGUUCAGUGGCUGUGGUGGAACGUGCAGGUGAAAUUAACCCUUUCACGGCUACCGAUUUUCCUUAGCAGAGCUGUGGAGUGUGACAAUGGUGUUUGUGUCCAAACCAUCAAACGCCAUUAUCACACUAAAUAGCUACUGUUAGGCCAUCCUUCCGCUCACUAAGUGCCUUGACAUCUGUUUGGUAGGGGCAAGAAGGUUCCUCUCAUAGCAGUGCUCCCAGCCCUGUGUAAUUACUGAGGAAAUUCUGGUCCUUUUGUGCUCAUGACCAAUAACGUCACCUGAAUGUUGCCUCUCACAUGCUGUUGUUAAAUAAUUUAGCUGAUGAUGAAUUUUCUUGUCUUCCUGAGUCAAUAAAAAGAUUGCAGCGUCCCCCAGAGCACCCAGCACAAGGCUAGGCAUGUGGUCAUUGUUCAACCCAUGCUUCUUGAAUUGAAAUGAAUACUUAGGAAAAUGGUAGAUGUGGAAAACUAAGACCGGUUGAAAUCUAGGUUUCGUAAAACCCAUGCUUAUAGGUAAAAAAUUAAGUUAUGUGGGUCUUCUACUUGUCAUCAUAAAAAAGACAACUUUCUAAUAAACUUAUACGUGGCCUAACUGACCUUUCAGAAAUUCUAGAACAUGUUUGAUUUCUACUGAUCUUAAUCAAUUACCAGGCUGAUUACUGAAUUUGUAUACAAGGCCCUUCUUCCUUAUGUUUCGAUGAAUUUCCAUCAGGAAAUUAUACAUGAACUGUGUGUGGGCUGUCAUAGCAAAUCCAAACAUUUUAAACCCAAUGUAGCUUCUGGGACACUUGGACCAGCCGGGUGGUCUGGUUUGAAACACAUUCUUUCUCUGAGAGGUGUUUAAAGUAAGAGGUAGGUUCUGUUUAUGCUGGGCUAAAACUUCUCUCCUGUGACUUGGCUAAAUGAACUCGUACAUGUUUAAUCAAAAUGAAACGAUUGGAGGGACCAUCAGAGGCCAGUUCAUUCAACCCUUCAUUUAUCAAAUAAGUGUGUGUCGAGUGACUACCAUGUGCCAGGUGCUGCCCUAGGCACUGGGGAUACUUUUAAGUUAAGCAUGUCUGAUAUCAUUUCCAGAAAUGGGCGUUCACUGGCUCACAUUCUGUCUGGGACCAUUCUGAUUGUUCCAGUUACAUUUAUUAGGGAAUCAAAUGAACAAAACUUUGCAAAAUAAUUCCAAGUCCCUUGCUGGAAAAGACCACGUGGGUGCAGUCCACGUGCCUAUGAAACACGGUAAAGGUCCUGAGAAGCUUCCAUCUGGAGAAGAGGAGGUCCAUUCCUGCCUGGCCUGCGCCUCCUUCCCCUCCCAUUUCCUCCCUCCUGGCGUCAUCCACGCUCAAGAGGAGACCCAGACCCCCUGGAAAUAAUUAAUCCACUGACAUUCCUUUCUUGUGUUUUUCUGGAGUGCAUGCUAAUGGAAGGAGAGUGGAUAGAGGGUUCUGCUGUUACACAAAUCACCCCCAUGCACACUGUUUCACUUGACCCAGAAAAUGCAGGGCAGAGAUGCCCGGACCGGGGCUCCUUCCAUAGACAGCAAACUGAGAAUGGUCUGGUCAUGCCAACCACAACUGAACGUGGGCCUCCUAAAUCUAAGGUUCUAUCCUUUACCUGGAUCCUUCCCUGGCCUGGUUAUUCCACAGAACCUCAUGCUUCACGACUGAGGCUGUGUAGAAACUGGGUUAAUCAUACCAGUAUUGGAUCAGUAUCCUCAGGCCCUCAUCUGCUUUGUCAAGGGAUUCUGAGGGAAGCGUGUAGAAUAGGAGGGGGAUGAGUCAUAGGAUAAUCUUUCCCUGAGAGUACUCUUAAUGCAGGGAAAGCCAAAUACUGUGAAACCCUGUAACCGUGAAGUGAAAGAGAAGGGAAGGGAAGGAACAUCUAAGCAGUAGUUUGGAAUCAGGAAGGGAGUGGCCAAACUAUCGAGACACGGACCAGCCAACUUAGUGACCCAGCCAACUGCUGCAGCAUCGGCUGACCCAGAGCCUCAGGCUCUGAAUCAUUCCCAGGCUCAGCGAUAACUCAAGGAUGGCCUCACGCAUUCCUCCUCCUCCCUCCCACUCACCCUGAGAUUUUGCUCAGAUGGAAUUAAACAGGGAGCCGGAAAAAAAGGGCAUUCUGUAUCUUUUCUACUAGGUUGACUCACAUAACAGCUUAUUACGAUUCCUGCCUGGGUCCGUGCUGCAUUCAGGGUUAGGGACCCGUUCUUUCUGCAGAUCUGCAUGUAAGGAACACGCAUUGUGAAGCCGUGUCUACCACUCCCACCGCUCCAAUCUCUGAUCACGGCAUCCUUCGCCAGCCCAGCUUGCAUCUCUCCAACUCCCCCUGAUAUUAUUACUGCUGGUUGUCUGCAAUAAGCAUUCCUGGGGACACUUACUGACUCCGAAUGUUGUUUGCAAGAUGAAAGCGUUCACUAGGAAGUGGUGUUAAAAUCACAUGCAAGCUGGGAGGCAACAGAGAACCUAGGCAGCCAUGUUAAGAUGUUUUCUUCUGCUCGAGACAGGCCUUACUUCGUGACCCAUGCCAGUGAGGACCUGUGAAUCCUUUCACCUUAGAACAGUGUGUACCUUGAAUGUGACAGUUGUCACUCAGGGCCUGUCCAGUGUUCCCUCCAGCCCCAAAGGAGGUUCUGUGAAACAGCAUAGCAGUUUCAUAUGUACCUGGCUAGUCUACACAUUUUUCCUGGACGCUUCUUAAAUCUGUGUUUUCUUCUUUGUAUACUUCCUUGAAUCAGAAGACAAUAGAUUGUUAGAACAGGAAACCAGUUUCCUCUUUGUUCCAGUGAGGGAAACUGAAGCCCAGAAAGGUUAAGGAACGUGCCCAAGGCCGUCCCAUCAGUCUGCGCCCAAGGUGGACCCAGGCCUCACCACUUCAUCCCGGUGGUGGUCUGUUGAGUGUCCCCCGCAAAGAGUGGGCACAAAAGGAAGUCAAACAGUGCUUGCUGACUGAGUGACUAGAGGCCACAUAAAGUCCCCUGCCCUUUUGUUCAUCUGAGAAGUGUCUCCUUCAGGUUUCAAGGGGACACUCCCUAAUUUGGUAUUCUAGACUUUGGUGGAUGGGUCCGCGAUUAUAUGCUCUCCAUUCCCUGCGUCAUCCACCAUCCACUGGACAGAUAUGGGUUGUGUGAUGACUUUGUGUCUGGUAGUGUCCUGGGCUCUGGGGACACAAAGGAGGAGACCAGGUCCCGUCCCCAAGUUGCUCUCAGUACAGGAGUUGGAUAGUCACCUAAACAAAGACAUUGAGGCCUCGGGGUAGUUAGAUCGCAUCACAGAGCCAUAGUCAGGGUGCCCACAGACUUUAAUUAUGCCCUUUAUUUCUUUUCAGAUGAAGAAACACUGACUCUUUGAGUAAUCUUUUUUAUUACUGUUGGGAAAAUAAUCGCUCUUGUUUAUUUUGAUGAUUCAGUUGCCAACAGGUUGUAGAUUAAGGGCACUUUGUUGAAUUUGGGGGCAAUGCUGUAACGGGAAGAUCUCGCAGCUUUUACUUUGCCACGUGCCGGCAUCACGAGCAGCGUGGGGUCUGUGGUGGGGCCUCAGGAGGAGUUAGGGGCUGGAUUAGGAUGCUUUUCAGGUAUGUGUGUGAAGAAUUGUUCUUUCUCACAGGCGCCGGGGAAGCUGUGAGCUGGUUCUUUCACAACGCAGGAUGGGUUCACGUCACAGCACCCCAUCAUUAGGCUGUUUCCUCCCUUCCUGCCUCUUUCCCUGUCAUGAAAAGCCAACCCCAGAGCCACCAGUUAGAUGCCUUACUGUCCCUCUGUUUCCCCUCCCUUGGGACAGGCUCAAGGAAGCCGUUGGGUGCAAAGCCAUGGCAGGAGCCCCCAGGGCCUGUGGGGAGGUAGAAGGAGCCCCCAGGGCCUGUGGGGAGGUAGAAGGAGCCCCCAGGGCCUGUGAGGAGGUAGAAGGAGCCCCCAGGGCCUGUAGGGAGGUAGAAGGAACCCCCAGGGCCUGUGGGGAGGUAGAAGGAGCCCUCAGGGCCUGUGAGGAGGUAGAAGGAGCCCCCAGGGCCUGUGGGGAGGUAGAAGGAGCCCCCAGGGCCUAUGGGGAGGUAGAAGGAGCCCCCAGGGCCUGUGGAGAGGUAGAAGGAGUCCCCAGGGCCUGUGGGGACAUCUACUUUCUUUAAUAUUCAAGUUUCCUUCCAAGCUUUCCGAAGCAAAAGGAAGGGUUUCAAGCCACAUACAAGUUCACCAAAAUGUAGUUGGCUAAUGAAGAUUCAUUCCAAAGGGUCUGGUCAUAAGAUAACCUGAUUUAGAAAGCAGGCCACCAUAGCGUUCCGCAAAAAAGGUUUACGUGGUGCAAAUUUAUCACGUGCUUAGAAUAUUUAAACACCAUGCGUAGGAUACGCCAAGAUGAGGAAGACAUUCAUUCAACCGACAUUCAACCAUGUGUUCCUACUAUGUGUCAGGUGUUAAGCUAGUCACUGAGAAUUCAAAAAUAAGAUAUUCUCCCCAGAAUAUAGUGUAUAGAAUAUGCAGUCUAGUGAGGAUGCAGGCAAAUGAGUAAGAGCAGAGCUGAGCUGCAGAUUCUUUGAAGUAGAUACCGGAUAACACGGGGGCGGGAAGGAAGAAACGCCAUCUGUGGUGUGAGAGAAAGGCGUGAAUAAGAAUAAGAGACAGCGCUCUGGGG